UGAACGCUGGCGGCGUGCCUAAUACAUGCAAGUCGAGCGAACGGACGAGAAGCUUGCUUCUCUGAUGUUAGCGGCGGACGGGUGAGUAACACGUGGAUAACCUACCUAUAAGACUGGGAUAACUUCGGGAAACCGGAGCUAAUACCGGAUAAUAUUUUGAACCGCAUGGUUCAAAAGUGAAAGACGGUCUUGCUGUCACUUAUAGAUGGAUCCGCGCUGCAUUAGCCAGUUGGUAAGGUAACGGCUUACCAAGGCAACGAUGCAUAGCCGACCUGAGAGGGUGAUCGGCCACACUGGAACUGAGACACGGUCCAGACUCCUACGGGAGGCAGCAGUAGGGAAUCUUCCGCAAUGGGCGAAAGCCUGACGGAGCAACGCCGCGUGAGUGAUGAAGGUCUUCGGAUCGUAAAACUCUGUUAUUAGGGAAGAACAUAUGUGUAAGUAACUGUGCACAUCUUGACGGUACCUAAUCAGAAAGCCACGGCUAACUACGUG
rnacentral:rRNA from 1 species